rnacentral:rRNA from 1 species
GACGAACGCUGGCGGCGCGCCUAACACAUGCAAGUCGAACGAGCGAGAGGAGGUUUACUUUCUCAAGCGAGUGGCGAACGGGUGAGUAACGCGUGAGGAACCUGCCUCAAAGAGGGGGACAACAGUUGGAAACGACUGCUAAUACCGCAUAAGCCCACGACCCGGCAUCGAGUAGAGGGAAAAGGAGCAAUCCGCUUUGAGAUGGCCUCGCGUCCGAUUAGCUAGUUGGUGAGGUAAUGGCCCACCAAGGCGACGAUCGGUAGCCGGACUGAGAGGUUGAACGGCCACAUUGGGACUGAGACACGGCCCAGACUCCUACGGGAGGCAGCAGUGGGGAAUAUUGCACAAUGGGGGAAACCCUGAUGCAGCGACGCCGCGUGGAGGAAGAAGGUCUUCGGAUUGUAAACUCCUGUUGUUGAGGAAGAUAAUGACGGUACUCAACAAGGAAGAGACGGCUAACUACGUG